CCUACGGGAGGCAGCAGUGGGGAAUAUUGCACAAUGGGCGAAACCCUGAUGCAGCGACGCCGCGUGGGUGACGAAGUAUUUCGGUAUGUAAAGCCCUAUCAGCAGGGAAGAAGAUGACAGUACCUGACUAAGAAGCCCCGGCUAACUACGUGCCAGCAGCCGCGGUAAUACGUAGGGGGCCAGCGUUAUCCGGAAUCACUGGGCGUAAAGGGCGCGUAGGCGGUAAUAUAAGUCAGAUGUGAAAGGUGGGGGCUCAACCCCUAGAGUGCAAGUGAUACUGUAUAACGUGAGUGUGAGAGAGGGAAGCGGAAUUCCUAGUGUAGCGGUGAAAUGCGUAGAUAUUAGGAGGAACACCAGUGGCGAAGGCGGCUUUCUGGCUCAUAACUGACGCUGAGGCGCGAAAGCGUGGGGAGCAAACAGGAUUAGAUACCCCUGUAGUC
rnacentral:rRNA from 1 species